rnacentral:tRNA from 1 species
GCCUGUCAAACGUAGCGAGCGACGUGCCGGCCUUGUAAGCCGGACAGGCCGGUGCGACUCCGGCGAUGGGCUCCA